GGCAGGCAGCAGAACCACUGAGCUAAAAUCCCUGGCCCAUCGACAAGUACUUCUUGAGCACGUGCUCCAUUCUGAGCAGUGGAGAGCGUGGAGGAGAUCUGUGAUCCAGAGCAAACCCUGUGCCUAGUACAGGCAAUGAAAAUGCCAGGUGACAAGGCAUGGGCAUGCGGUCCCAUCUGCUCCAGAGGUGGAGGCAUGAGGAUUGAUUGAGCCCAGGAAUUCAGGACCUGCCUGGGCAACAUGGUUCCCAGAAAAACCCAUUUAAAGAGAUGUGAGCCACGAAAGUUCAAGGACCCAAGUUUGAUCCCCCGUACCAAAAAAAAAAAAAA